rnacentral:rRNA from 1 species
AGUGAACGCUGGCGGUAGGCCUAACACAUGCCAGUCGAACGGCAGCACAGUAAGAGCUUGCUCUUACGGGUGGCGAGUGGCGGACGGGGGAGGAAUACAUCGGAAUCUACUUUUUCGUGGGUGAUAACGUAGGGAAACUUACGCCAAUACCGCAUACGACCUACGGGUGAAAGCAGGGGAUCUUCGGACCUUGCGCGAUUGAAUGAGCCGAUGUCGGAUUAGCUAGUUGGCGGGGUAAAGGCCCACCAAGGCGACGAUCCGUAGCUGGUCUGAGAGGAUGAUCAGCCACACUGGAACUGAGACACGGUCCAGACUCCUACGGGAGGCAGCAGUGGGGAAUAUUGGACAAUGGGCGCAAGCCUGAUCCAGCCAUACCGCGUGGGUGAAGAAGGCCUUCGGGUUGUAAAGCCCUUUUGUUGGGAAAGAAAAGCAGCAGGUUAAUACCCCGCUGUUCUGACGGUACCCAAAGAAUAAGCACCGGCUAACUUCGUG